rnacentral:rRNA from 1 species
GGUAACGGGGAAUUAGGGUUCGAUUCCGGAGAGGGAGCCUGAGAAACGGCUACCACAUCUAAGAGAAGAGCAGCAGAGCGCGCAAAUUACCCAAUCCUGACACAGGGAGGUAGUGACAAGAAAUAACAAUACGAGUCUUAAAGUCUUGUAAUUGGAAUGACGGGAAUUUAAACCCUUUCCGGAGUAUCAAUUGGAGGGCAAGUCUGGUGCCAGCAGCCGCGGUAAUUCCAGCUCCAAUAGCGUAUAUUAAAAUUGUUGCAGUUAAAAAGCUCGUAGUUGAAUUUUUGCUAUAAUAUAUUUUUUUAUAUAAUCCUUUUUUAAUAGGUUAUUUAAAAUAUAUAUUAUUGGCUUUUUCUGUAUAUUAUUUAUUAUAUUAUAUACAUAUUAUUUGUAUAUAAUUAAUAUUUAAAUAAUAUUUGCAGAUUGUUACUUUGAGAAAAUUAGAGUGCUUCAAGCAGGCAUAUGCCUUGAAUACUUUAGCAUGGAAUAACUAAGUAGGACUUUGGUUCUAUUUUGUUGGUUUAAGAGCCAAAGUAA